rnacentral:rRNA from 1 species
UGAGGAAUAUUGGACAAUGGACGAAAGUCUGAUCCAGCUAUGCCGCGUGCAGGAUGACAGCCCUACGGGUUGUAAACUGCUUUUAUACAGGAAGAAAAAUCCCGACGUGUCGGGGCUUGACGGUACUGUAAGAAUAAGGAUCGGCUAACUCCGUGCCAGCAGCCGCGGUAAUACGGAGGAUCCAAGCGUUAUCCGGAAUUAUUGGGUUUAAAGGGUCCGCAGGCUGUUUUUUAAGUCAGAGGUGAAAUCCUGCAGCUCAACUGUAGAAUUGCCUUUGAAACUGAAAGACUUGAGUUAUUGUGAAGUGGUUAGAAUGUGUGGUGUAGCGGUGAAAUGCAUAGAUAUCACACAGAAUACCAAUUGCGAAGGCAGAUCACUAACAAUUAACUGACGCUCAGGGACGAAAGCGUGGGUAGCGAACAGG